rnacentral:rRNA from 1 species
GCUAAACGCGAAGAACCUUACCUGGGCUUGAACUGUCGGUAUAGGGACCCGAAAGGGCGACGAUCCCGGGCAACCGGGAAGCCGAUAGAGGUGCUGCAUGGCUGUCGUCAGCUCGUGUCGUGAGAUGUUGGGUUAAGUCCCGCAACGAGCGCAACCCUUGUCUUUAGUUGCCAGCGAGUCAUGUCGGGCACUCUAAGGAGACUGCCUCGGAUAACGAGGAGGAAGGUGGGAUGGACGUCAAGUCAGCAUGGCCUUUAUGUCCAGGGCUACGACACGUGCUACAAUGGGCGGCACAGAAGGACGCGAGACCGCGAGGUCAAGCCAACCCUUAAACCGUUCUACAGUUCGGAUUGCAGGCUGCAAUUCGCCUGCAUGAAGUCGGAAUCGCUAGUAAUCGCGGAUCAGCUACGCCGCGGUG